rnacentral:rRNA from 1 species
UACGUAGGGACCGAGCGUUGUCCGGAUUUACUGGGCGUAAAGAGCGCGCAGGCGGUCGUGCAAGUCGCGUGUGAAAGCCCCCGGCUCAACUGGGGAGGGUCACGCGAUACUGCUCGACUCGAAGGCAGGAGAGGGAAGUGGAAUUCCCGGUGUAGUGGUGAAAUGCGUAGAUAUCGGGAGGAACACCAGUGGCGAAGGCGACUUCCUGGCCUGUUCUUGACGCUGAGGCGCGAAAGCUAGGGUAGCAAACGGG